UGUUGUUCAGUUUUAGGUGAUUAAUAGGCUAGCAACACAAUGUUCAUCAGUAAUUAGCUAUUUAUAGAUUAGAAAAAAUCAACUUGGUCUCCUGAAUGAUAAUUUGCUAUGAUUCUUGUUGAGUUUGGGUUUACAGCUUAACACUAUGGCACCGACUUAUUCUUGUUAUGUUUUUCUCACUUGUUACAUUUGAUGUUGCCAUCUAUGUACUUUAAGCUUUUGUGUGCCACAAAUCCAUCCAUUGUUUCUGUGAAGGUUGAAAAUAGAUUCCUCGCGUCUCAUGGCAUCAUUGUCCCUCCUCAAUUGGUCAAGGUGGUUCAAUCCCAUUAAUGUUAACCUGGCUUCUAUUAUACAAAAAGAUGUUUCACUCGAGUGUUUUUCUAGAGGCUAGCCUAGUUUUCUCUCGUGACAAUUUGAGAAAAUAAUUUUGGUCACCAUUGUAUUUUCUUGUAUUGUACUCGCAUGUUGACAGGUUCUACCAUGCCAACCAUGGCCCAUGUAUUCGUUGUUUCACCAUGACACCCUUCUGUAAUGAAGCUGAAACGGCUUUGCCAAUGGUGUACAGAAGGAACCUCUUGUUACUUGGGUUCAUAAAAAUAUUCACGUUGGACUCCUAUUACUACUUGUGUCCUUUGUCGAGCUUUUCUGUUCUUCUUUUUUCCAGUAGUUGCUGCUUUUUUACUUCGUUAAUGUUUCGACUUGGGGAUCUUUGGCAUGCUUUGUUACUAUAUAGUUGUCCCUUCGAGCAGAAGUGCAGACCCCAUAAUAUUUCUCCCCCCUCCCCUUUUUAAAGCAAAUUCUCACAAGGAAUAGAAGCCAAGCAAGAGCUCUAUGUAACCAUUUGCCCUUAAACUUAAAAAGUUUCAUGUGGGUGAUCUUUUGGAGACAUUUGUGGAAGUCUUAGACUAAUUAGGGUAAGGCUAUGCACUAUUGUAUGUCUCCAGUCCUCUAGACCCUGCAUCAACAAGACUUAUAUCGAGUGGCGAACUGGCGAUGGUUGUUUCAGGCUUUCAGCAACAUUUUCUUAUAGCUUUUGAUAACUUCAGUUGAUUUGUCAUGAUCCUAAACACUGAUUUGUACUGUAGCAAUAUAUUGCAGGCAAUAUGUAAUUCAUGCUAUUAAUUCUGCAAAUUAUUUCAUGGUUACUGAUGGCAAGACACGAAUGCAGGGUAUAUUGACAAAUGAAACGAAGUGCCUGAGGCGUGAGACCGUCACAGUUAGAGACGAGACAUUGUUCGAUUUAAGUCUUGAUAUAGAACAGAACAGCUCCAUCCAAGGAUGGUGCAUGUAUUCAAGAGUUACAAGCUACUUUAAAUAUGUGAAGAUUUAUAGGGUUUUUGGCACAAAAAUAUUACAUAGUAGAUAGGUUUAAAAAAAUAGAGUAAUCGGACCGUGAUUGCAAGAUUUUAUUUUAUUUUAGUGGAUUUAGUUUUAGUACUUAUGUUUUCUUUUUACUAUUCAGACAAUUGUAAAAGAUAUUAUGCUUAUGAAUUUAAGGUAUUUGAAAUGUGUACAUUUUUGAACUUA